AACGAACGCUGGCGGCAGGCCUAACACAUGCUAGUCGAGCGAGGACUUCGGUUCUAGCGGCGGACGGGUGAGUAACGCGUGGGAAUGUGCCCUUCUCUACGGAAUAGCCCUGGGAAACUGGGAGUAAUACCGUAUACGCCCUAUUGGGGAAAGAUUUAUCGGAGAAGGAUCAGCCCGCGUUGGAUUAGGUAGUUGGUGGGGUAAUGGCCUACCAAGCCGACGAUCCAUAGCUGGUUUGAGAGGAUGAUCAGCCACACUGGGACUGAGACACGGCCCAGACUCCUACGGGAGGCAGCAGUGGGGAAUCUUAGACAAUGGGGGCAACCCUGAUCUAGCCAUGCCGCGUGAGUGAUGAAGGCCUUAGGGUUGUAAAGCUCUUUCAGCUGGGAAGAUAAUGACGGUACCAGCAGAAGAAGCCCCGGCUAACUCCGUGCCAGCAGCCGCAGUAA
rnacentral:rRNA from 1 species